UAUGUGAUAUACUACAACGAGAGGAGAGCUGGCUAUCACUAUCCAGACUACUACUCCGCAUUUGCUUUUAAUGAAUUGUGUGAAUUUGAAGUUUAUGGAUGUCCUAAUUCUACAUACUAUGGAAAAUAUUGCGAACAAUCGUGUUCGGACAGUUGUCUUGGACAGAGGUGUAAUUUCUUAACAGGGAACUGUCUCAUGGGAUGUUCAAGUGGAUAUGAGGGGCCUCAAUGUAGACAGAAAUGUGACGGUGGAAUGUUUGGAGCAACCUGCAGUCAAAAAUGUGGUCAUUGUUAUGGUAAUACACAGUGUCAUCAUAUCAACGGCACAUGUCAAGCAGGAUGUUCUGCCGGAUAUGUUGGAUCUCUUUGCAACAAUAGUAAGAAAAACUAUAUCGUCAACG